UUUUUUGGCAGCAUGGUCAAAGCUUUAGGCUUGUCUUUUUUUUUUACAGUCCUUUAACUUUUUUUUUGUUUCUCCCUUAUGGUUCUUUUCUUUCCUUCAGUUUUUUUGCAUUGGCUUUCUUUCUAUCAUGUCUCAUGGAAACCUAUUAAAAGACCUUCUAUCUCUACCAUUCCUACCCUUUGUUUGACAAACUAUUCUCCUUUGGCCAAAGGUAUUCUUUGGUAUCCUUAGAUUAAACUUCCAGUGUUUCAAAUGAGUGGGAAACCUGUCAAGAUUCCUGAUCUUAACAGUGACCUAAGAUCACUAUUCCAAAACAUAUAAGGAUUUUUUUAUUUACAUGUGUCACACUAAUAUAUAUAUAUUGAUAUGGAUUGAUAAUGUAUCAUAAUACUCUUGCCACUUCUUCAACAACCAGCACAGAAAAGAUACACAUAAGGAAAAAUGGACUAAAGUGGAACUUUUGAGCAAGACAACUUCAGAGAGAGAGGAAAAUAGACAAAUUCAAUAGCUUAACAAGGAAAAUUGGAGUCUAUGAUUUCCAGACACACUGGUCUUCCUUCUGAAACUACCGACUUCAUAUGUUUCCCAUGCAAUGGGCCUCAAAACUCCUAUUUAUUUAGCAUUAACAGCAUGAACCAUUUAUAAGACAGCUCACAGUCUAAAAAGUCAACAGGGAAAUUAUAAGAUUCCAGCUCAAACUUUCUGAAAUUUUAUUUGAAUUGUUUAAAUGCAAAGUCAGACUGAGUCUCACGCUGUUCACAGUAAACACCAUAUAUUUUUGUGUUCAUUUCCAAGGCAAAUCAGACUAACCUAUGUAAAGGCCUGAGUACUAUUUAUUUUUUGCUGAAUAUGUUUCUUAAAAACUGUCUCACUAUCUCCAGAGAUUUUAAAUCAUAGUGGUAACCAGUUGUCUUGGGGAUGUCAAGAAGCAAUUCUGCACAGGCAGUUGUUCAAGAGAGCCUCCCCACUGAAUUCUUCUAAGAGUUCAUAUCUGCAUGUUUUAAUAACGGCCUCCGACCAUUGCCUCAGACUCACUUUUCGGAAUAUAUGAGCACUUGAAAUUAGUUCAUGAUAAACCUGUCAAGGGCUCAUUUUAUCACUUUUUAAUUGAAAGCAGGUCACUAAAAAAUUUGUCCAUGUUGAGAAUGCAAAAGCAUUCGGGAGGGAUAUGACAAGUCAUUCCAGCAACACUGAGUGUUCAAAUGAUGCUUAGAAGAUCAAUACAUAAUGCUGCCCAGAAGAGAAACUCUGCUUAGGCAACCUCUAUGCAUACCUCACAUUCACAUCAGGACUGCUCCCAAAUACAAACUAUGUGCAUAUACCAUGCUAAUAACUGAUCAAUGGCUAUUGUUACUCAUCACAGGCUUAGAAAAUAUCAUGAAAAGCUAAAUUACAUCUCAGACUUGUUAACUCUCAUGGUAAAUUUAUCAACAGUCGAAGAAAGGCGGCUUUGUUUUGUUUUGAAGUCCCAUUGGAAACACUGAUGGAAUCUUCAGUAACUGCAUCACUGCUGCUCUGACGUGUUCCCAUAGUGGCUCUCAGCAGGUUCACACAAGAAAUGAGAAGGCUGAGAUCACUUUCUUGAUGUAUAUGUUAUUGUGAGAUCCAAGCCCUUGCUGCGUCAGAAAUCACAUGGUUUAUUAAGGGCUUAAGAUUAAUUCUGGAAAUUUAAACUCCUGUUUUAACCAUAAGCCAUGAUUGGAAACGGGCUACAGAAAAAGUAAGUUUGAUGAAUCUGGGCCAUGGAGUAACAGAACUUCAUAAUCAAGGCAAAAGGAGUGAGUUAAUUGAAGUGCUAGAUGUGCUUUUAGCAUCCUGCCAAGUAGAUCACACCACUACUUUGUUUUGGGACUCCAAUGAGAAAUGACAAUAUUAGGUAUUUUAUAUUAGAGGAGAGUUUCUGCAGGCUUCCAUGUAACUCCAUUAAUGUUGGCAAUUUUUAUGUUAAAAGGCAGGGAAUAACCUGCUCCAUUGAACAAUGGAAUGAAAUCCACUCUCUUCAGGCUGGUUAGCAGAGUCCCUUUUUCUUUUUCUCCUAUAGCCCAGUUUUAAAUGUAAACUGACUAUUAGCUGAGAAUUCUGUUGUCCAUUACGAGUUCCUGAAAACUUCAACACGGUUUCAUUACUUUAUAGCCAACACCGACAUUUUUUCCUACUGGGGAUAAAAAGUACUAAAAGCAAAAGUAAUAUCCAAGCCAACCCCCUACCUUCAGAAGACUACACAACAUGCAGAUGACAUCCUGUAUUCAGGUAAUACAUUUCACAAGAUGAUAGAUGAAGAGAGAUUUCAUAUGGUAUGUAGGGAUGUAAUAUUAACAUCAAAUACAUUCCAAAUCCCUUAUCUAAUCUAAUGAGCCAUUUAACAGUUGAUCUAUCAGGUCAGGUCUUUGAAUUGGUUUUGUGCCAUGGGAGUAAAAGAUGCCUAAUAUUUAAAUAAUAAUCUUUUUGACAAAGGUGAACUUGAUCAGUAAUAAAGAUUGUUUCCAAUCAAUGAUCUUCAAAAGGUUUCUUCUGUUUCUUUCCAGAUGACUACACAAAACAUCACAGUACAUAAAAUACCUCGGUCUAAUCCACUGCCACUUGUUUUCCUCUUUGCCAUUAUUUCUUGACCUUUAUGAAGUACUUUUGUAACUGUUUUAGGCCUAGAGAAGGUAUGCUUUUGCUUUCAUAUGGAAACUGUAAGCACUUUCAUCCUUCCACUGCCAGAACACACACACACACAAGCUGGCACAUUCUUCUAAUCACAAAAGUAAAAAAAAAGAAAAAAAAAAAGAAAAUCACAGCUGCAGUAUUAAUAGCAAAUAUAUUCUGGUUCAUGUCUGGUUACACUCAGGUGAACACUGAUAAGUCAUGUGUGAGGUUCUCAUACACAGCUCUGCUCCUGCAACACCAAUCCUAACAUGCCUCUGCCUCUUUGUAACACUGUCAUACAGCUCAGUUCUGUACAGCUUCUUGCUGAUCCACUCCUCUCCAGUAUUAAUAAUAGAUAUGAUUUAUUAUAGUUUGCCAUAGUCGGUAGUUGUUUUUUACAGAAAACUGAAUAUAUGGGCCUUCAUCUCCCCUUCCCUCCCCCCACCAAAUCUGAGACUUCAGUACAGACAGGCAACUAUGCUAAAUUCUGCGGUAAUGGUUCCUCCAAAUGAUAACUCUAAAAUGUCAUUUCUGAGUAUUUGCAAAACACAAAAAAGUCUGUCCUAGUUAAGUCCUAGUCUGUCCUUCUAAAUCAUGCACAAGUGGUUCCAAUAAAAUAUGUUAAAAAUCAAAGUACCAUAUUAAACAAAACUGUCUUCAUUGUGCAGCUGUGUCCCAAAUUAAAGUAGUGAGCUCUAUAAGCACCAUCUUAGGAGGUACAUACCCUGCCUGAUUUUUGGCUGAUCUGUAUUGCAUUUACAGCACGGGGAAAUUGGAAGCAACCCUAGCACCAUUUUUCAAGAGCAGACUAAGGUUAGACUUUAAAGCAACAAUGCUGAGGCAAAUCAUAAUAACUUCUCUCCCAGCAGUCCCAGUACAACAGUUCUUCACUAUUUGCUACACUCAGGCAGUGUUUAUGGAAAGUCACUGAGUACCUUCAAGAAGCAAGUGUCUGACUUACCCAUAGCAUUUGCCUCCAAGUGCACAGUUUUCCUAGCACAAAAUUAACCACUGGGGACUAGCAUGCUGUGGCAUUCACAGCAGGGCUUCACGGCACACUCAGUUACGAUAUGUUCAGCACAACACACUAAGAACAAAACACUUCAGCAAGAAAACUGGGUGAAUGGCAUGGUAUCUUUGGACCAUCACCAAAGCACCAGGUCUUCAUAUAACAAGGUAAAAUGCAAAAAUAAAGCUUAACAUAAACAGUAGGAAUUGGAAAGCGUUGCUAGACAUUAAAGAAGUGCUAACUUUCCUAAUUUGGGAAAAUUCAUUCAUCACUACAAAGUCAUUGCUUUGCAGCUUGAUUCAACAGCACAGAAGGAUGCAUAAAGAAUUCCUUAUAGGUAAUUAAGAAUUUUGUAUGUUCUUCAUUAAAAAAGAAAAAAAAAAAAAUUUUUUUAAACAGAUCAGGUUCAAAUCUAAUAUGCAAUCCUACAGAUGUCUAAUCAGUUUUGCUUUCUUCCUCUUCUCACUUUCAAAUUCUGGUCUCCUGGACAGCCACACAGCAGCAGAAGAAAUUUUCAGGAGUGCUGGACAUUUUUGCAAUUACUUAACUUGGAUUAAAUGACCUUAUGAUAGUAGGUGUUGUUAUGUGUAAUAAUCAGCUACAGGGAAACACUUUGGCCUAAAUGAUCAAUAUUCUUUCAAAAAGAUUAAUGAAGAUUGCUGACUCAAAAUGCCAUCGCUGUACAGACCUGUUUUAACUUUCCCCUCUGUAGCUUGGAAUGGACUACGCGAGAUAAAGGGUCACAGCAGAGUGGAGCUGUGCUCUGAGCUCUCGUUCUUCCUUUGGUGUAAUUAGGGUGCAUCAUGGUCUGUAAUUGAAUUUCUGCACUCACAGCUUACAACAGAAAUGCUCAAAAGACAGCAGUGGGAACGCUAUGCUAUGCAACUCCUGAUUUGUAAGUGAAAUUGAAUUAUAUAGAUGGAAUUGCAAACACUCAAGGGCCCCCCUAACCUGGGGUUCACUCUUCUGGCAGUACCGCAUCAAUGCCUUUAAAGAAAGCAGCUGCCUUUCCACACGCCACCGUGGGCAUAAGCUGCCUGUCCCAGUGUGAGCAACCAGACUCCAGCACUUUGCUGCUGUUCCAGGCCCCUUUAGUGCGUGCAAGCUACAGGGGGACAGGGCACGACGCUGGAUGCUGCACUCGAAACGCCUGUCCUCUCGUUCUGGCACAGAGAGCCCCACUGUUCCUUUUUAAAAAUCCCCUGCUCUUAGCAAGGUUUGUUUUCCUAACUGGUUCCCAGAAACCUCUUGGGGGUUCCAAGCCCAGAAAAGUAAUUACUGCAUUACUUUGGCCACAGACACAAUAUCAACCUUGUUAGACUUGGCCUGUGGAGACAGCCAAACACCUGCUGCUGCAACAUUUAUUUGAUAAGCUUCAUGGUUCGCUAACAUAAACCUGAAUCUGCUGACCUGCAGGAGGAUGAAAAGGAGCUGGGGGGAAAGGGUGGAGCAGGUAGGCAAUCUCAUGGCCCUCCGGCCACCAGCUUACAGCCCUCUCUCCCAGCGAGCUCCCAUUUCUCUUUACUUUCUUGUUCCCUGGUGAGAGCUUCAGAGAAUUGGUUUUCCCCCUGCAGUUAUGCAGGCAGAUGUGGAAGGGGCUAGGAUUCCCAUGCCUUAUGACGGAUUAACUGACAAGUGUGGGAUCAAUACGGGAAUUGUUCUAGCUCUGGCUGCAUCUGUAGCCUUCCAAAGCAGACAGAAUAGCUGCACACACAUUCGUUGGCAUGGUGGUGUGUGCACUGAAAGGCUGGCUUAAUACCAAAGUCCAUUAGUUAACAGCAAGGGGGGAAGGAAGGGCUGCAAAUCAGUCAAAUAAACAGAUAAAAGGUUGGGGAGGAAAGCAGAUGUAGAAAUAGAAACUUGUUUCUUUCUUUUUUAUUCCUCAAAUGAUGCAGUUUUCUUGUCUAGUAUCAAAAAAAAGAAAAUGGGGUAGAGGGAAAUAAAUAAGGUUUUGUCCCAAACAGGACCGUCUCUUCCAGUGGAUACUGCCAAGCAAUAUUUGCAGAAAAAACAAAAGUGCCAGGGGACUUAGCAGGAAGGAGAAAAUCAUCUUCCCAACUAUGGUGCUCAGUAUCAGGAAACAAAUUUCUUCUGACAGGCAACCUUGCCUCCUUCUCAGCCUCAACUUGUUCUAGGCAGGGGGAAUCAAAAGUGGACUAUCUAGAAAACCAGGAAAGGACAUUUCCAUGCAUCUGCUAGCUGUCACUUACAUGGAAAGGGUUUGACCUAAGGACAGUAUGUUUUCUAGUGUACCUCUGCCUAUGUAUGUUGAUAGUGCAUCUUGGAGAUACACAGCCUGAUUCACCCAUUCGGGAGACAGUGAGAAGCAGAUGAAUCACUCUGAAUGACAUCAGAGCCAGACCAAACUUUUAUAUAAACCUUAGCAAAAAUCUGAAGACUAAACCUCUGAACAUGUGUGAAAUUGUCUACAUGAGCAUCUUCUAUCUUAUUUCACUUACUUCCACUGGCUCAGAACCUCAGGAACUUUAAUUCCUGAAGGAGAAGAACCUGCAAAAAUUCAAAGCACACACCACAGGACAUUUUCCAGAUAGAUCCAACCCAAAUCAAAGCAAAAGCCUCAAAAGAAAACUUCUCUUGUGGAAUCUCAAGCCCAGUUUUGCAGGUAUGUGAAAUUCAGAUAAUGAAUGAUAAACAUCUGAAGUUUUGGACUAGUACCAACAUUCUGCUUUUGUAUUCAUCCUUCAACGUACAGGACUCACAGCAUCAAAGUGAAACGCUAAGUACACUCAGAAAACCAGCACGACUGGAUUCGCAGAACUCUACCAACACAGUCAACUGUUCCAAUUUCUGCCUUUAUUGACUAGCCUGUUUCUCUCCAAACGGUAUGAGACAGAUUUUUUAGAACUAGUAAUUAAAGAAGAGAAACAAAUAACCUGAUACUGUCAGCAGACUCUUGUGGAAAGUGCUGCAAGCAAAAAGACAGUGUAAGUGAAUUUGACCCACACUGGGAAGCCUAUACUGCUCGGAAGCCUGUGGGUACAAAAGAAAAAAUAUGUCCAGCUCCCAGAAAACACACCACACUGAGCCAUCAUAGUUUCCUUGAAAACUGCUGGUGACUGAAGCCAGUAACUUCAUUCUUGCUCCACCAUUUUGCUUCAGGCUCUACGCCCAUGUUCACCAACAGGCUAAAAGCAAAAGAACUCCAAAGGCAUUACUCACACACCAGGCAGUGGAGAUAAGGAAGAACUCAUGGCCUGAUCCUCAAUGGUUGCUAGAGAGACCAGCAGCAAAACUCCCAGGCUAAGGACAAUUUCAUUCCUUGGAGGUCUCUAAAUAAUAAAGCCAUUUCAUUAAGCAUUAAGCACCAUUACAAAGUGACUAUAAAAAUCCUCCUAAUGGUAUUUCUGUAAAAACCCCUAUCAUAUUAUAGGGUGCUUUUCUGUAUUAUUCUGCCUUUUAUUCUUAAACCUAGUUCUAGACUGUGAGCAAAUGUACACCUUGUACAGCAGCUUCUGCCCAUAGUUUCCCAGAGCAUCGUACAUGCAGAAGCUCCCUGAAGGAUAUAUGUCUCAUGGUAAAAUACUGGUAGACUGUUACACUAGCAGGAAUAGUUUUAAAGAAAUUUCAACAGCCAGGGUGAACUACUGCUGAUUGCCAUCUGAGAAGUGGCACCCAAGCAGCUUGAGCUGACAGAUCAGCAGAGCACUCUAUAACCACACUAGGUUUGGAGCACAGCAAGGCAAAUGAGAAGCAAUGACAGCCGUACAGCUCACUCACAGCAUCCCCAAGAGAGCAGCCAUAUGCUGACAACGAACACUGCAGCCGAAACAAACCAAAAUUGUACAACAGCUUCUUAAAAUAAAUCAUCCCAACAGGCCCUGCUUCCUGUUCUGUUAACAGCCACCAGACCAGAGGACUGGAACUUACUCCGAGUCACAUAAAUGCACGUGUGCUUAAAAGUUCUAAGCUCUGGGUGCCUAGGCAUGUGUGGCUGCAUACGCUUUUGUGUGGCCAGCUACAGGAUGACAAGAAUAACACGAAUGCAGGAAGCCUCCUUCUCCAUUUUCUUGCUCUCUGCAGAGAACUUUAUGUCAUUAAAAAUUUAAAAAUUGUGAGGUUUUUCCUGUUUCCAGGUAAAACAUGAGCAAGUGUUGCAGGCUCUUAAUAGCGCAUGGAUAACUAGAGCUCAGCCAGGUACAGGUACUCAGAGGUAACACAUCGUCUCUACUGUGUCACACCCCUGGGAAUCUCCAGGAUUAAGACCUUACCGCUACACCAUUUUGCAUGACAGGAAAGGAUCAAAUUGGACAGGUUAAGGGUAGAACAUCAAGAUAAAAGUUUUUUUCACGGUAACUGAAUAUUGUGUCUUCAAAUCUCUUCUUUCCUUUUCAAAAACGUAUUUCUAACUUUGCAGUUCUGAAGAACAACUUUUACAUUGUGAACCGAGUAAGCAAUAUAGCAAUUUGCCCAAGUUUGCAGACACACUAAACCAGGUUCCUCAAAAAUAACUUCCACAUCAUAGCUUGAUGCCUUGAAAUGACUGUCUGAAGUCCAUCCUUCUCCCCUGAGUUUUUUGUUUGAACAUAUAUAGUUUCUUCAGGUUUGAAUCAAUGGGAGAACAAGACUGCGGCUUUUUGUUACAUCUUGGGUUAAAAUCUAUUGAAACUGGUAGAUCUAACACUACAUUUCCUUUCAAGCUAAAUAAGGCUACAGUUAAAUUCUUCUUUGUUUAGUAAUUGCUAAAAACAAAAGACUGCAAAAAAACCACAGGCUGCACAGGGUCUGGACCUCAUAAGACAAACAGAAUCACAGGAACAGGUGCCCCAAACGUGGAGAUUAAGGCAAUGAGUAGUGCAGCUCUGCUCCUAAAAGUACUGGGCAUGAAUAUGGUAUCUUUGUCAACAGAUGAAGCAGACCCUGACAUGUGAGUUUUGCUAUAAGCCAAUAUUAAGUACAUAAAUUUUACUACAUCAAACUACUGUAAUUAUUUCUUUGAUAUUUUGCUAGCUGUCACUCUACACAUGUGGAACAGUAAAAGCAUAAAACUGUCUAUUUUGAGAGUGUGUGUGUAAAGAAUACCAAGAAAAGGUUUGUUCUUAAAGAAAGCCAUCUAAAGCCAUCCAAAAUGAGUUUACUCUCUCAGAAUGCUGAUGUUACUUUGACCCUUAAAAUAAAUCUCUAAAACCCAUUAAGCAGGUGAAAAGGGCUUCAGUUUCAUGCUUUAACCACACCUUAUCCUUAGCCAAGUUGUUGAUGGCUAAUCAUCUCCGGUUACUUCUGAACAAAGUUUUAACCACCACUGUUGGAGUCAUCAGUACCUAACAUAUGCUGGGGAGAAGGGAGGAAGUGAUCUGUCUGACUGUUAGACAAAUAAUAGACUUACUGACAGAAUAAAAGCAAAAGAACAAAACAAAGUAACUGAAAAGGACAGAAGACCAAUUUGCUUAUAGCAGCAUUUGAGGAAGGCCUAGGAGAAAGUGGGACACCUAACAAUAUCCAAAAGCCUUUGGGUCUGUUUAUUUCAGCUAUAUCAG
rnacentral:lncRNA from 1 species